rnacentral:ncRNA from 2 species
GACUCUCUUAAGGUAGCCA